rnacentral:lncRNA from 1 species
UGAACUUGUACUGUUACACCACUGUCCCAGGUUAAGGGAGGGUUGGGAUCCCGCUAACAUGUUUAACCCCGCCACAUUAUGUAUGUAUGUGCCUGUCCCAAGUCAGGAGCCUGUAAUUCAGUGGUUGUCGUUUGUUGUUGUGUUACAUAUAGAAAAGAAGAGGGGUAUGAUUGCCAAUGAGACAACUCUCCACAAGGGACCAAAAAUGACACAGAAAUUUAUAAAUACCGAGCCGCGUCAAAGAGUAAUCACCAAAAUAAACAUUAAAAAAAGAAAGAGAGGGGUGAGUAAAUAAACAGACAACUAAACUCCAAAAUGUAAAACAGCAUGACAAAGCCAUGGUCCAAAGCGAAAAACGGUUAUAAGACACACAGUAAUCAAUAAAAGUGAAAACACAGACAAAAAUGGCCAGGAUCAAGUUCCACAAACCCUUACAAAAAAAAAGUAUGAUGCUAUUUAUAAUUCAAUCACAUUUGGUGGUGAAUGACCAUUAUAAACAGCCGUGAAGGUUACAAAUAAGGGGUUUCAUAGUGUUUAUUAUCCUUUAAUUGUUGAAAUUAUAACUCUUAAAAUUUUGAUAUCAAAAGUUACCC